GGAAAGCAUUUUUGUUCCUCAGAAAGCAAAAUGAUGACAUCAAAGGCCUUGUUGUCCCCACGGUGGCCCGGUGAGAGAUGGCAGCCCCUCAGCUGGGCUGUGAGUCACGGGAUCAUCAGGUUAGAGCCUGGGGUACGAAGCAGCACCGAACAGGAAAGCUACCUGAGGAUGAAGCCAAUAUAAAGAAAGUCGUACAAGGACAGGUGCUCUCUUUACGUGGACCCACCUGUGCUCUGCACCAACACUGAAAUCCCUCGUAUUUCUGGCAUCUUCUGCAUGGCCGCGAGAUUCAGCCGACUUUCCAGGGUGUUGGAAACCUUUAUUUUCUGAUCGCUGCUGUAGACCUCCACCCCUCCAGCAGCAUUGGAAGGCAAGUGUUCAGUUUGGUCAACCUGUACCUCCAAAUGCUUCUGGCAGAGCCUCAUGUACUGAGGGAUGGCUCUUAGCACCGCAGACUCCACCAGGUGGAGGUCCUGUGGCCGGCAGCGGACAAUCAUCACAGGCUCCAGCAGCCGGAGCAAGGCUUGGAGCACGAGCUUAUCCAGCAGGUCCUGGUAGAUUUCUUCAUCCGACACAAUUCUGCUGAGCCUCAUCUUGGCAUCCUUGAGCAAUUCUAAGAUGAGAUUGUCUC
rnacentral:lncRNA from 1 species